GACGAACGCUGGCGGCGUGCUUAACACAUGCAAGUCGAACGGAAAGGCCCUGCUUUUGUGGGGUGCUCGAGUGGCGAACGGGUGAGUAACACGUGAGUAACCUGCCCUUGACUUUGGGAUAACUUCAGGAAACUGGGGCUAAUACCGGAUAGGAGCUCCUGCUGCAUGGUGGGGGUUGGAAAGUUUCGGCGGUUGGGGAUGGACUCGCGGCUUAUCAGCUUGUUGGUGGGGUAGUGGCUUACCAAGGCUUUGACGGGUAGCCGGCCUGAGAGGGUGACCGGCCACAUUGGGACUGAGAUACGGCCCAGACUCUUACGGGAGGCAGCAGUGGGGAAUAUUGCACAAUGGGCGGAAGCCUGAUGCAGCAACGCCGCGUGCGGGAUGACGGCCUUCGGGUUGUAAACCGCUUUCGCUCAUGACGAAGCUUUGUGUGACGGUAGUGGGUAAAGAAGCACCGGCUAACUACGUG
rnacentral:rRNA from 1 species